CCUACGGGUGGCAGCAGUGGGGAAUAUUGCACAAUGGGCGAAAGCCUGAUGCAGCAACGCCGCGUGAGCGAUGAAGGCCUUCGGUUCGUAAAGCUCUAUCCUCAAGGAAGAAAAUGACGGUACUUGAUUAGGAAGCCCCGGCUAACUACGUGCCAGCAGCCGCGGUAAUACGUAGGGGGCUAGCGUUAUCCGGAUUUACUGGGCGUAAAGGGAGCGUAGGGGGUUUCUUAAGUCAGAGGUGAAAGGCUGGGGCUAAACCGGAGUAAGCCUUUGAAACUGGGGAACGUGAGUGCAGGAGAGGAGAGUGGAAUUCCUAGUGUAGCGGUGAAAUGCGUAGAUAUUAGGAGGAACACCAGUGGCGAAGGCGGCUCUCUGGACUGUAACUGACGCUGAGGCACGAAAGCGUGGGGAGCAAACAGGAUUAGAUACCCGUGUAGUC
rnacentral:rRNA from 1 species